rnacentral:rRNA from 1 species
UAGUGGCGAACGGGUGAGUAAUGCAUAGGUAAUCUGCCCCUAAGUUGGGAAUAACCUGUCGAAAGGCAGGCUAAUACCGAAUGUGAUUAUCUCUUCAUAAAAAGGGAUAAUUAAAGGGCUGAAAAGCCCGCUUAGGGAGGAGCUUAUGUCUGAUUAGCUAGUUGGUAGGGUAAUGGCCUACCAAGGCAAAGAUCAAUAACUGGCCUGAGAGGGUGGUCAGCCACACUGGAACUGACACACGGUCCAGACUCCUAGGGGAGGCAGCAGUGGGGAAUAUUGCGCAAUGGGGCGAAAAGCCUGACGCAACGACCCCGCGUGGGCGAUGAAGGUUUUCGGAUCGUAAAGCCCCUUUUUGAGGGGACAAUAAUGACGGUACCCCUCAGAAUAACCCUCAGCUAUUUCCGUGCCACCACCCGCGGUAAACCGGAUGAGGCGAACGUUAUUCGGAUUUAUUGGGCAUUAAAGGGGGUUCAGGGCGAAAUACCAAGUCAAACAGGAAAU